GCGUGCGCAUACGACCACAUGAUAUACAUGCGUGAAUCAAAGAACGCUUUAAUGAACUGUGUUUGACUCGAACAAGUGUGGACUUACUUGUCAUAAUUUAAUUGUUACCUCUUGGAAAAUACGAAUAUGCUUAAAAACCCGCCAAAUCAUGGCUACACGUUUCAUCUCAGCUAUCGCUAUUAGACGGUUACUUCAUUAUACGAAAAUACAAUGAGCUCAUUCACCGUGACCGUGCACAAAUUAACAUAAACUCAGACAAAAACAUAAUACAAUGACUUCUGUUUAGUUUCCAGACCAUCAUAUCUUGAUAGACUAUGAUCAGUGUCAUUUUGGAUCAUGUGUCUCAUGGUACUUUUCUUUCUGGCUUUCAAAUCUGCUGUGAACAUCAUCGAAAAUGCCACUGGAAAAUACAUUCCUAUUUCCUCGCAGGGAACUUGCCAUCUUACCAGACAAAAUGUGUUUCAUCUGGGCUUCUACGCAUGAUAGAAAGUUUCGAAAGUUCACUCUUCCCGACAAACAUCGCUACGGACUGCAUGGAGUUUCAAAUAUCUCGCAAAUGUUCUCUUGCUGAUGACAUAGCUAUCAACACAGGUCCUAUAGUCGUCUCACUUGAAUUCUCCGUUGACAAUUCAACAACUUCCCGAGCCUUGUGGUUACCCAAUAGAUCACUACAUGGUGUAGUUUGAAGUGAAGCUGAAAAGAGCUAAGUCAGUAAAGUCUUGAGUAUUUGAGUUUCAGGAAAAGGAAAUUUCGAUGAGCCACUGUAUGUAACUUUCUGACACGAUUCCUCAUCAAUGUUACUCCAACUGACAGUAUUGAUGACUUGGAACAAUGUAGGGCUACUUUCAGGUACAUCCCGAUGAGAACGGUCAAACACACAAAUAGUCCACUAUGGAUCGAUAGUGAAUUGUGUCGUCUAAUCUGUAAGAUGUACAAAGUUCUAAAGCAAUAUUGCAUGAACAAAUCUGCUGAUCGAAAUUGUAAAUUACGAAGCAUUACUCAAUAAAUCAAAUAGGAUUCGAAGGAAACACAGGCUAAAAUAGAAAUUUCAUUCUGUGACAACCCCAAACUAUUCUGCAGUUACCAUAAAUCAAUUAUUCACCACCAGACGGGUUGGAUCAAUGAAAUAGCAUAUGUCACAGCGUUGGACGGAGAAAGAAAAAGCAGAUCUUUUUAACACCUACUUUUCUUCAGUAUUUCGUCCACCUUCUACCAUGCACCCGUAACUACACGUUUCGAACGGAAAGUGAAGGGAACAUCUCGGAAAUAAGUCUUGUUGUAGACGAAGUUGUGCAAUUUUUGUGUGCUCUUGAAACCUCAAAAGAAUGUGGCCCUGACAGCAUACCUCCUCGCCUCUUACAAGUAUGCGGCCUUGAAAUCACACCAAGCGUCUGUGAGUCGUUUAACCGUUCCUUGCACACUGGUCAUGUUCCCUCCGGGUGGAAAUGUGCGAAUGUCACACCCAUCCAUCUUGCGUUACUCAACUACUAUCAGUACUACACGGUAUUGGAAAUCCCUAAACAAAAACAUUCAACCUGACGUUAUCAACCUCGAUUUUGCGAAAGCAUUCGACUCUGUCGAUCACCAAAUUCUUCCCCCACAAGCGCGCAUCAUAUAUGGUGUGCCAGGUCAGUUAUACGAAUGGCUUGUGGACUAUCUCAGUGCUCGUUGUUAAUAAUAUAAAAAUAUAAAGUAAA